CGGACGGGUGAGUAACGCGUGAGAAUCUGCCCUCAGGAGGGGGAUAACGGCUGGAAACGGCCGCUAAUACCCCAUAUGCCGCGAGGUGAAAUGAAUUUCGCCUGAGGAUGAGCCCGCGUCUGAUUAGCUAGUUGGUGGGGUAAAGGCCUACCAAGGCGACGAUCAGUAGCUGGUCUGAGAGGAUGAUCAGCCACACUGGGACUGAGACACGGCCCAGACUCCUACGGGAGGCAGCAGUGGGGAAUUUUCCGCAAUGGGCGAAAGCCUGACGGAGCAACGCCGCGUGAGGGAUGAAGGCCUCUGGGCUGUAAACCUCUUUUCUCAAGGAAGAAGACCUGACGGUACUUGAGGAAUAAGCCACGGCUAAUUCCGUGCCAGCAGCCGCGGUAAUACGGGAGUGGCAAGCGUUAUCCGGAAUUAUUGGGCGUAAAGCGUCCGCAGGCGGCCUUGUAAGUCUGUCGUUAAAGCGUGGAGCUUAACUCCAUUUCGGCGAUGGAAACUACAAGGCUUGAGUGUGGUAGGGGCAGAGGGAAUUCCCGGUGUAGCAGUGAAAUGCGUAGAUAUCGGGAAGAACACCAGUGGCGAAGGCGCUCUGCUGGGCCAUAACUGACGCUCAUGGACGAAAGCCAGGGGAGCGAAAGGGAUUAGAUACCCCUGUAGUC
rnacentral:rRNA from 1 species